GAUGAAGAACGUAGCUAAAUGCGAUAAGUAAUGUGAAUUGCAGAAUUCAGUGAAUCAUCGAGUCUUUGAACGCACAUUGCGCCCCCUGGUAUUCCGGGGGGCAUGCCUGUCCGAGCGUCAUUGCUGCCCUCAAGCACGGCUUGUGUGUUGGGCUCCGCCCCCCUCCCGGGGGGCGGGCCCGAAAGGCAGCGGCGGCACCGCGUCCGGUCCUCGAGCGUAUGGGGCUUUGUCACCCGCUCUGUAGGCCCGGCCGGCGCCCGCCGGCGACCCCAAUCAAUCUUUCCAGGUUGACCUCGGAUCAGGUAGGGAUACCCGCUGAACUUAAGCAUAUCAAUAAGCGGAGGA
rnacentral:misc_RNA from 1 species